GAUGAAGAACGCAGCGAAAUGCGAUAAGUAAUGUGAAUUGCAGAAUUCAGUGAAUCAUCGAAUCUUUGAACGCACAUUGCGCCCGCCAGUAUUCUGGCGGGCAUGCCUGUCUGAGCGUCAUUUCAACCCUCAUGCCCCUAGGGCGUGGUGUUGGGGAUCGGCCAAAGCCCGCGAGGGACGGCCGGCCCCUAAAUCUAGUGGCGGACCCGUCGUGGCCUCCUCUGCGAAGUAGUGAUAUUCCGCAUCGGAGAGCGAUGAGCCCCUGCCGUUAAACCCCCAACUUUCCAAGGUUGACCUCAGAUCAAGUAGGAAUACCCGCUGAACUUAAGCAUAUCAAUAAGCGGAGGA
rnacentral:misc_RNA from 1 species